UGAGUAUAGCAGGGCUCGAACCUGCGGCCAUCAGAUUAAAAGCCCGAUGCUCUACCAAUUGAGCUAUAUACUC
rnacentral:tRNA from 1 species